ACCCUACGGGGGGCAGCAGUGGGGAAUAUUGCACAAUGGGGGAAACCCUGAUGCAGCAACGCCGCGUGAGUGAAGAAGUGUUUCGGUAUGUAAAGCUCUAUCAGCAGGGAAGAAGAAAGACGGUACCUGACUAAGAAGCCCCGGCUAACUACGUGCCAGCAGCCGCGGUAAUACGUAGGGGGCAAGCGUUAUCCGGAUUUACUGGGUGUAAAGGGAGCGUAGACGGUAUGGCAAGUCUGAAGUGAAAGCCCCGGGCUCAACCUGGGAAUUGCUUUGGAAACUGUUAAACU
rnacentral:rRNA from 1 species